UGGGAAUUUUGGACAAUGGGCGCAAGCCUGAUCCAGCCAUGCCGCGUGCGGGAAGAAGGCCUUCGGGUUGUAAACCGCUUUUGUCAGGGAAGAAAUCUUCUGAGUUAAUACCUCGGGAGGAUGACGGUACCUGAAGAAUAAGCACCGGCUAACUACGUGCCAGCAGCCGCGGUAAUACGUAGGGUGCAAGCGUUAAUCGGAAUUACUGGGCGUAAAGCGUGCGCAGGCGGUUUUGUAAGACAGAGGUGAAAUCCCCGGGCUCAACCUGGGAACUGCCUUUGUGACUGCAAGGCUUGAGUGCGGCAGAGGGGGGAUGGAAUUCCGCGUGUAGCAGUGAAAUGCGUAGAUAUGCGGAGGAGCACCGAUGGCGAAGGCAAUCCCCUGGGCCUGCACUGACGCUCAUGCACGAAAGCGUGGGGAGCAAACAGGAUUAGAUACCCUGGUAGUCCACGCCCUAAACGAUGUCAACUGGUUGUUGGGAAGGUUCCUUCUCAGUAACGUAGCUAACGCGUGAAGUUGACCGCCUGGGGAGUACGG
rnacentral:rRNA from 1 species